rnacentral:rRNA from 1 species
GAUGAACGCUAGCGGCAGGCUUAACACAUGCAAGUCGAGGGGCAGCACGAUGUAGCAAUACGUUGGUGGCGACCGGCGCACGGGUGAGUAACACGUAUGCAACCUACCCUGUACAGGGGGAUAACCCGGAGAAAUUCGGACUAAUAUCCCAUAAAGAUAUUUGAGGGCAUCCUUGGAUAUUUGUUAAAGAAAUUCGCUGAUAGAUGGGCAUGCGUUCCAUUAGGUAGUUGGUGAGGUAACGGCUCACCAAGCCGACGAUGGAUAGGGGAACUGAGAGGUUGGUCCCCC